rnacentral:rRNA from 1 species
CAAUAGCGUAUAAUUAAGUUGUUGCAGUUAAAAAGCUCGUAGUUGGAUUUCGGUUAAGAGCGACCGGUCCGCCGUUUGGUGUGCACUGGUUGGUUUUAACUUCCUGUAGAGGACGUGCUCUGGGUUUAACGACCUGGACUCGGAGUCUACGUGGUUACUUUGAAAAAAUUAGAGUGUUCAAAGCGGGCUUACGCUUGAAUAUUUCAGCAUGGAAUAACACUAUAGGACUCCUGUCCUAUUUCGUUGGUCUCGGGACGGGAGUAAUGAUUAAGAGGAACAGUUGGGGGCAUUCGUAUUUCAUUGUCAGAGGUGAAAUUCUUGGAUUUAUGAAAGACGAACUUCUGCGAAAGCAUUUGCCAAGGAUGUUUUCAUUAA